rnacentral:rRNA from 1 species
AACGAACGCUGGCGGCAUGCCUAACACAUGCAAGUCGAACGAAGGCUUCGGCCUUAGUGGCGCACGGGUGCGUAACGCGUGGGAAUCUGCCCAAAGGUUCGGAAUAACUCGGGGAAACCCGAGCUAAUACCGGAUGAUGUCGCAAGACCAAAGAUUUAUCGCCUUUGGAUGAGCCCGCGUCGGAUUAGCUAGUUGGUGAGGUAAAGGCUCACCAAGGCGACGAUCCGUAGCUGGUCUGAGAGGAUGAUCAGCCACACUGGGACUGAGACACGGCCCAGACUCCUACGGGAGGCAGCAGUGGGGAAUAUUGGACAAUGGGCGAAAGCCUGAUCCAGCAAUGCCGCGUGAGUGAUGAAGGCCUUAGGGUUGUAAAGCUCUUUUACCCGGGAUGAUAAUGACAGUACCGGGAGAAUAAGCUCCGGCUAACUCCGUGCCAGCAGCCGCAGUAACAC